rnacentral:rRNA from 1 species
GAUGAACGCUGGCGGCGUGCCUAAUACAUGCAAGUCGAGCGAACGGACGAGAAGCUUGCUUCUCUGAUGUUAGCGGCGGACGGGUGUGUAACACGUGGAUAACCUACCUAUAAGACUGGGAUAACUUCGGGAAACCGGAGCUAAUACCGGAUAAUAUUUUGAACCGCAUGGUUCAAAAGUGAAAGACGGUCUUGCUGUCACUUAUAGAUGGAUCCGCGCUGCAUUAGCUAGUUGGUAAGGUAACGGCUUACCAAGGCAACGAUGCAUAGCCGACCUGAGAGGGGGAUCGGCCACACUGGAACUGAGACACGGUCCAGACUCCUACGGGAGGCAGCAGUAGGGAAUCUUCCGCAAUGGGCGAAAGCCUGACGGAGCAACGCCGCGUGAGUGAUGAAGGUCUUCGGAUCGUAAAACUCUGUUAUUAGGGAAGAACAUAUGUGUAAGUAACUGUGCACAUCUUGACGGUACCUAAUCAGAAAGCCACGGCUAACUACGUG